GCUUACGGUUAUAUCAGCCUGGGUACGCCCGACCUCGUCUGAUCUCGGAAGCUAAGCAGGGUCGGACCUGGUUAGUACUUGGAUGGGAGACCGCCUGGGAAUACCAGGUGCUGUAAGCA
rnacentral:rRNA from 1 species